CAGUCGCCGCGGGAAUACGUAGGGUGCGAGCGUUAAUCGGAAUUACUGGGCGUAAAGCGGGCGCAGACGGUUACUUAAGCAGGAUGUGAAAUCCCCGGGCUCAACCUGGGAACUGCGUUCUGAACUGGGUGACUAGAGUGUGUCAGAGGGAGGUAGAAUUCCACGUGUAGCAGUGAAAUGCGUAGAGAUGUGGAGGAAUACCGAUGGCGAAGGCAGCCUCCUGGGAUAACACUGACGUUCAUGCCCGAAAGCGUGGGUAGCAAACAGGAUUAGAUACCCCCGUAGUCCCUGUCUCUUAUAC
rnacentral:rRNA from 1 species